AAAUUGAAGAGUUUGAUCAUGGCUCAGAUUGAACGCUGGCGGCAGGCCUAACACAUGCAAGUCGAACGGUAGCACAGAGAGCUUGCUCUCGGGUGACGAGUGGCGGACGGGUGAGUAAUGUCUGGGAAACUGCCCGAUGGAGGGGGAUAACUACUGGAAACGGUAGCUAAUACCGC
rnacentral:rRNA from 1 species